GUAUUUUUAGGUAGUACGUACAUUAAUGAAUUCACUCACUCAAUCACUCACUCACUCACUCACAGGAAGAUAAGACACUGGACCUGAGAUCAGUAGGGCCUCAGCACCAUGCCAGGUACCUGCAGGGCACAUUUUGAAUUUGACUGUUAACCUUUAUUGAAAUCAGGAUAAGGCUAGGAUUAUGUUAUGUAUUUCA